rnacentral:rRNA from 1 species
AAAAGCGGAGGAAAAGAAACUAACAAGGAUUCCCCUAGUAGCGGCGAGCGAAGCGGGAAGAGCUCAAAUUUAUAAUCUGGCACCUUCGGUGUCCGAGUUGUAAUCUCUAGAAAUGUUUUCCGCGUUGGACCGCACACAAGUCUGUUGGAAUACAGCGGCAUAGUGGUGAGACCCCCGUAUAUGGUGCGGACGCCCAGCGCUUUGUGAUACAUUUUCGAAGAGUCGAGUUGUUUGGGAAUGCAGCUCAAAUUGGGUGGUAAAUUCCAUCUAAAGCUAAAUAUUGGCGAGAGACCGAUAGCGAACAAGUACCGUGAGGGAAAGAUGAAAAGCACUUUGGAAAGAGAGUUAACAGUACGUGAAAUUGUUGGAAGGGAAACGCUUGAAGUCAGACUUGCUUGCCGAGCAAUCGGUUUGCAGGCCAGCAUCAGUUUUCCGGGAUGGAUAAUGGUAGAGAGAAGGUAGCAGUUUCGGCUGUGUUAUAGCUCUCUGCUGGAUACAUCUUGGGGGACUGAGGAACGCAGUGUGCCUUUGGCGGGGGUUUCGACCUCUUCACACUUAGGAUGCUGGUGGAAUGGCUUUAAACGACCCGUCUUGAAACACGGACCAAAAA